AGGAGGACUUUCACCUGCCAGCCCACUUUGUUGCCCUCUCCAGUUAAUACCCAAGUACAACAGGUGUCACUUUAAAAAAAUGGAAAAAUUUAAAUAGCUGUCCUGGAGGACAUACACAGAAAUUACCAGGGAACCAUCUGUGCCACAAAACUUUCAGCAGAGACACAGCAGCCAGACAAAAAGAGAAUCAACAGCAAUAAAAGCAAACAUUCCGAGGUGGCAUGAUUGAAAAGCACGUAAGAGUGGCUGAGUCAGAUCCAUCCCACGUCCCACAGGAGCAGCAGUGGAUUCCUGGUCCUCCCAGCUCCUACCAACUGCCUGGGAGCUUUCUCAGCAGCUUUUUUCACCUGAGUCAUUGCAUUUCACAACAAGUGAUGCUGAAUCCAGCCUUCAUUCAUUUUCUUAGUUAAUUUUAAAAAAAUAAUUUCUAUUUCUGCUCUUUGCAAUAUCCUGUGGAAGCUGCAGUGUGGUUUGCCUACCACCAUUAAUUUUGUGAUCAGUAGGAGGACUGUUCAGCAAACAGCUUUGGAAAGAGGAUAUUUCCUCAAGGAGCAGGCAGCAAGGAAGAAGGCAGAAAAAAGAGACAUUAAGAGCAACGUAACGGAAAGAGCAAGACUCUGGGAAUUGAAAAGGUGUGAGGCACGGCUUGGGGCUGAGUGAUUGAUGGGAGGUCUUAAAGCAAAGCCCAGAAUGUGAUGAGUUUCAUUUUCAUAAAAAACACUGCAGUCAUUAUGUGUGGCCAGGAGGCUGCACGGCACUAAAUAUUGCUGAUGUUUAAGAGCUUCUUUUUAAGAGUUCAGGCCUUAAAAUAUCACGUGUGGGCAGCAGCAAGCAGUUAUUUGUGGUGAGUGGUUACCAAUGGACAGAGAGCCCAGCUCAUUGCAACUUUAUUUUCUUCCUUUGUACUGCUCUUCCCCAAAAUGUGCCAAAUAAAACACGUCCUCCCUAACAGACCCACUAUUAUUUUAUGGUCUCACCAUGCUGGGUUAGAAAUUGCAGUGUCAUGAAAACAUCCUUUAAAUAAAUAAUAAAACAGGAUAUUCCUAAGACAGGGUCUUGCAUCUUGAAGGAGCCUGCACAGCCUCACAAAACCCCCACCACAGCCACUGCUGGGAGAGGUAACAGCCCUCAGCAAUGCUGCUCAGUGGUUCAGGCCAGCAAAUGUGGAAUAAAUAUUACAUGGUGUUUAACAAGGCAUUUUCCAACCUAAAUGAUUCUGUGAAAUACAAAUUCCACUCCCUUUCCAAGCUCUGCUUUCAUCUGCAAUAAAGAGCUUUUCCCUGUGAACACCCCAGCAGCCCAUGAGAGCACACAAUGUGCCUUCUGCACCAUGGCCUGCUUAUCACCCUGGGUGUGCUUUUGUAGAAGGAAAAUUUC